GGGCGAGUGGCGAAAUUGGUAGACGCGCAGGCUUGAGGGGCUUGUGGAGUCAAAUCCUUGGAGGUUCGAGUCCUCUCUCGCCCA
rnacentral:tRNA from 1 species